GAGGGUGUAGCCCAGUGGUGGAGCGCGUACUCAGCAUGCAUGAGGUCCUGGGUUCAAUCCCCAGUACCUCUA
rfam:Camelus ferus unplaced genomic scaffold scaffold55, whole genome shotgun sequence.